CUGGGAUUCAACGCGAUCCUUUCCGGCGUUGCGUUGCGGAUAGUCGCCGUAGGCGGAUGUAUUGCCUACGUGCCUACGACUCUCUUACGCGGAUUCGUCGCUCCUCUUCCUUUCGUUAUUCGUUAUCCGUUAUAUGUAAGCCAACGAAGUCGCGUAAAAGGGGAAGGAAGAAGAACGACGAGCGCACUCAAACGAAGAAGUAUUCAAGAGUCUGUAAUGUUCUCAGAAACGGUACUGAAUUUCUACGAAGGAGACCUUAUCUAGCAAGUACAGAUAGCAGCCAAUAACGACAACGACGAAAACGACGACGAGGUUGAGCGGAUGGAGAAAGAGGAGGAAAAGAGGAGUACGACGACAGAAACGCAAAAAGUUACAUGUGUUAGCCGAUGCACCGACUAAUAGUGCAAGAGGGCUUAUUCCGAUGAGAAUAUACGAAGCGACACGAAGAGAAAUAAGCGAUACUCGGUUAUUCGCCGACUACAUUAUAAAAUACAUCGUAAAAGGAAAGAAGAGAAGAGCUGGACAAAGGUGAAAAGACAGAUCGAAAGGGCAAACGAAGUAUCACUCGUGCGAGAAUGUCGGUAGUUAUCUGAAACGAACGAGACGACCGACACUAUGUUGACAGCUUCGACUUCGUGAAACUCUCGGCACUUUUUCGAUAGAACUGUUGGACGUACAAUCAUAAAUUUUAUAGCAACCGGUCCGCGAAUUCAUUCGCUGUCGUUCGAACUUCUUAAAUAUGGAAGAAGGAAGGACACAUUUCUACUAUAUUAUUUAAUGAUAUACAAAAAAAGAGAGAAGGAGAGAGAGCUCGUAAGCGAAUGGAACGAUCAUAGAUAAAAUAAAGAGUUUUAAAAAAGUCGCUAAAAUAAUCAUGCAAAUUUUAAUCGAAUUACUUGAUUCUGCGUAAUUUAUGCAACACCUACGUAGUUUCGAAUUCGACUCGACAAAUUUUACUCAAAUACAUCGAACAUUCCUCUACUUCGAUAAGGUACGUACGCACGUGAUUUCUAAAAUGAUUUCACACAUAUCUUCAAUUUUAUCGCUUCUCCUUUUUCUUAUUUUUCUUUUUCACUCGCGUAAUUUCACCGGGACUUCGCCGGUUACGGUACUUGUGAG